GAUCCUGGCUCAGGAUGAACGCUAGCUACAGGCUUAACACAUGCAAGUCGAGGGGCAGCAUGGUCUUAGCUUGCUAAGGCCGAUGGCGACCGGCGCACGGGUGAGUAACGCGUAUCCAACCUGCCUUACACUCUUGGACAGCCUUCUGAAAGGGAGAUUAAUACAAGAUGUUAUCAUGGGUAAGCAUUUUCACAUGAUUAAAGGUUUACCGGUGUAAGAGUGGGAUGCGUUCCAUUAG
rnacentral:rRNA from 1 species